rnacentral:rRNA from 1 species
UACGUAAGGGGCAAGCGUUGUCCGGAAUCACUGGGCGUAAAGCGCACGUAGUCGGCUUUGCAAGUCGGGUGUGAAAUCCCCGGGCUCAACCUGGGAACUGCAUCCGAGACUGCAUUGCUAGAGUAUGGGAGAGGGAAGCGGAAUUUCUGGUGUAGCAGUGAAAUGCGUAGAUAUCAGAAGGAACAUCAGUGGCGAAGGCGGCUUCCUGGACCAAUACUGACGAUCAGGUGCGAAAGCGUGGGGAGCAAACAGG